AAUAUGAUUGAUGCAGGUUUUCAAGUUGGACACGAGUGGGAGAGUGUGUUUUUUAGUGGCGGCCCUUGAGGUUUUGCACAAGAGAGUUAUGGUAGCUGGGGAAGAGAGCAAAGGGUGUUCUUCUCAGCCAAGCUGUUCCCUGACCCUUACCUUGCCUACCAUCUUGUGUUCAUGGAACGAUUGGUUUGAGGAUUUAUUCAGAGUGGGAGCUUCCUGGGAGUUCUUGCGGUGCAGAAGAGAGCAGUGUAGCAAUAUAUCGACUGGGGAUGAAGGGGUGAUCCCAGUUCCCAGGGGACAUGUGCAAAAAUAAUGAAAAGCACCCUUGCAGUUAGCACUAAUUGACCUUAAAAAGGCCAAGGACUACAUGGGAGAUGAUGAUCGCAUUCCAGAAGAGAGCCUUCCAAAUCAGGACUUCCCCGUUGGCAGAGACAAGUGAAGUUGCUUGACAAAUGGGGUGAAGAGGUGUUCUACAUAGAAGGAGAGGAGAAAAUAUUUGUGGAGAUGCCUCUGAGUAGAGCUGAGAACAGAGUCCUGAGGGACUGUAACAGAAGGAGGAAUGGCACAGAAGAAGAGCCACCAGAAGAAAUGCUGACAGAAUCUUAGAAAUGUGAGAGGAGAACAGGAGAAAAAGGGGUCACAGAAGGCAAGGGAAGACAGGAUAUCAAGGAGAAGAGAAUCAUCCAUAAUAUCAAAGUCAGAAAAAACUCAAGGAGGAUGAGACUGGAGUGUUGGCCUUGAAAUAUAGGCAGGAAAAAGUCAUCUGAUAUUUUGAGAACUGGAUUGACACCAACAACUCAAUUCACAAAGACAUGCCUUCAAAUGGUGAUGAUUUUCAAUCACUAUAGACCGAUGCUGGGUUUAUAUCUCUGGCCUAGAGGUAGGAGGGACUAUAUCCCCAUGACAGUUUGGGAAAUUUGUCUGUGUGAAACUUAUGAAUUCUGGUUGACGUUAUGAAAUUGCUGUUUCAUUGAAGGUCUCAAUGUAUCAGCCAUUUGCUAUUGGGGCUGAUGUCACCUCCCAGAUUAGGAGCAAUGGAGAGUCAGUCAUCUAAUUGGGAGCACUUUAGAACAAUGCUGCACCCUAGGGGAAAAUCAAUUCUAUUUGGCUGUCUGCAGGAUGGGGGGUUGGAACAGUGGAAAAAUCCACAGUAGAAAAGAAGGAUUGAAAAAAACAAGGUGUUGGAACUGGCUUUUAAAAAACUCCACAGACUCUGGGUGUUUUCAGGGAAUUCAAAGGGACAUGCUCUCUGAGCAAGGGGAACCUUUUGGCUGUCAGACCUGAACAAGCUAGAGGGAGCUUGCUGCAGGAAUCAGAAGCGCCUCCAUGACCAGGAAGACAAGAUUGAGUUGGGAGAAGGGACCUGGAACUCCUGAAGGCACCAACCAAAACCCAAAGGAGGCUCCAGAGGGUGAGGUCUCUAGGGAAAGGAAGUGUGUUUUCUAUUUUGCCUAGAUCUAGCU